AUUGAACGCUGGCGGCUGGCCUAACACAUGCAAGUCGAACGGUAACAGGAAGCAGCUUGCUGCUUUGCUGACGAGUGGCGGACGGGUGAGUAAUGUCUGGGAAACUGCCUGAUGGAGGGGGAUAACUACUGGAAACGGUAGCUAAUACCGCAUAACGUCGCAAGACCAAAGAGGGGGACCUUCGGGCCUCUUGCCAUCGGAUGUGCCCAGAUGGGAUUAGCUAGUAGGUGGGGUAACGGCUCACCUAGGCGACGAUCCCUAGCUGGUCUGAGAGGAUGACCAGCCACACUGGAACUGAGACACGGUCCAGACUCCUACGGGAGGCAGCAGUGGGGAAUAUUGCACAAUGGGCGCAAGCCUGAUGCAGCCAUGCCGCGUGUAUGAAGAAGGCCUUCGGGUUGUAAAGUACUUUCAGCGGGGAGGAAGGGAGUAAAGUUAAUACCUUUGCUCAUUGACGUUACCCGCAGAAGAAGCACCGGCUAACUCCGU
rnacentral:rRNA from 1 species